AGAGUUUGAUCCUGGCUCAGAUUGAACGCUGGCGGCAUGCCUUACACAUGCAAGUCGAACGGCAGCACGAGAGCUUGCUCUUGGUGGCGAGUGGCGAACGGGUGAGUAAUAUAUCGGAACGUACCCUAGAGUGGGGGAUAACGUAGCGAAAGUUACGCUAAUACCGCAUACGAUCUACGGAUGAAAGUGGGGGAUCGCAAGACCUCAUGCUCAUGGAGCGGCCGAUAUCUGAUUAGCUAGUUGGUGGGGUAAAAGCUCACCAAGGCGACGAUCAGUAGCUGGUCUGAGAGGACGACCAGCCACACUGGAACUGAGACACGGUCCAGACUCCUACGGGAGGCAGCAGUGGGGAAUUUUGGACAAUGGGCGCAAGCCUGAUCCAGCAAUGCCGCGUGAGUGAAGAAGGCCUUCGGGUUGUGAAGCUCUUUUGUCAGGGAAGAAACGGUGGACUCUAAUACAGAUCACUAAUGACGGUACCUGAAGAAUAAGCACCGGCUAACUACGUGCCAGCAGCCGCGGUAAUACGUAGGGUGCAAGCGUUAAUCGGAAUUACUGGGCGUAAAGCGUGCGCAGGCGGUUGUGCAAGACAGAUGUGAAAUCCCCGGGCUCAACCUGGGAAUUGCAUUUGUGACUGCACGGCUAGAGUGUGUCAGAGGGGGGUAGAAUUCCACGUGUAGCAGUGAAAUGCGUAGAGAUGUGGAGGAAUACCGAUGGCGAAGGCAGCCCCCUGGGAUAACACUGACGCUCAUGCACGAAAGCGUGGGGAGCAAACAGGAUUAGAUACCCUGGUAGUCCACGCCCUAAACGAUGUCUACUAGUUGUCGGGUCUUAAUUGACUUGGUAACGCAGCUAACGCGUGAAGUAGACCGCCUGGGGAGUACGGUCGCAAGAUUAAAACUCAAAGGAAUUGACGGGGACCCGCACAAGCGGUGGAUGAUGUGGAUUAAUUCGAUGCAACGCGAAAAACCUUACCUACCCUUGACAUGUCUGGAAUCCUUGAGAGAUCAGGGAGUGCUCGAAAGAGAAUCAGAACACAGGUGCUGCAUGGCUGUCGUCAGCUCGUGUCGUGAGAUGUUGGGUUAAGUCCCGCAACGAGCGCAACCCUUGUCAUUAGUUGCUACGAAAGGGCACUCUAAUGAGACUGCCGGUGACAAACCGGAGGAAGGUGGGGAUGACGUCAAGUCCUCAUGGCCCUUAUGGGUAGGGCUUCACACGUCAUACAAUGGUACAUACAGAGGGCCGCCAACCCGCGAGGGGGAGCUAAUCCCAGAAAGUGUAUCGUAGUCCGGAUUGUAGUCUGCAACUCGACUACAUGAAGUUGGAAUCGCUAGUAAUCGCGGAUCAGCAUGUCGCGGUGAAUACGUUCCCGGGUCUUGUACACACCGCCCGUCACACCAUGGGAGCGGGUUUCACCAGAAGUGGGUAGCCUAACCGCAAGGAGGGCGCUCACCACGGUGGGAUUCGUGACUGGGGUGAAGUCGUAACAAGGUA
rnacentral:rRNA from 1 species